AUCCGCCAACGCAUCCGAUCCCGCUACACCCUCUCCCCCGCCCACACGCACGCGCACACCGCCGUGCACAAGCCCUCGCCCUCGCCCUCGCCGUCGCCACCACACCCCACUGCCCACAGCGCCCCCGCGCCUGCAGAGCCAUGUCCGUCGACAGCAGCAGCACGCACCGGCACCGCAGCGUCGCCGCGCGCCUGGUGCGCCUCGCGGCUGCCGGCGCCGCAGUCAUCGCUGCUGUCGGCACCGCGGCCGCGUGGGCACACGCCGGUGCGGUGCAGCACCGCUGCAUCCACGACGCGAUGCAGCCACGCGUGCGGCAGUCGGUGGCGCGCCACCACACGGCCCCCGGCGCCGUGUCCGCGGUGGGCCUGCCGUACGUUACUCUUGACACCGCGGCCGCCGCCGAUCGCCGGCCGGGCAGCGCGCCCACAGUCGUGCGCGCCGCGAACUGGGGCGCGCUGCGCAUCGCCGUCUCCACCGAGGACCUCACCGACUCCGCCUACCACUGCGCUCGCGUCGGGCAGCGUGUAAACAACCACGCAGGCGCCAUCGCCACCUGCACCGCCGAGGACAUCCUCAGCGACGAGAAGCGCGACAUCCUGGUCAAAUACCUCAUCCCGCAGGCGCUGCAGCUGCACACGGAGCGGCUGAAGGUGCGGCAGGUGCAGGACAAGUGGAAGGUGACGGACAUGGUCGACGAGAUCUGUGGCGACUUCAAGGUGCCGCCGGCGCACAUCACCGAUGGCCUGAGCAACACCGACUUCGUGAUGUACGUCGCCUCCGUGCCGAGCGAGGAGGGUGUGCUGGCGUGGGCCACGACCUGCCAGGUGUUCUCUGACGGCCAUCCAGCCGUGGGCGUCAUCAACAUCCCCGCGGCGAACAUUGCGUCGCGGUACGACCAGCUGGUGACGCGUGUCGUCACGCACGAGAUGGCGCACGCGCUCGGCUUCAGUGGAACAUUCUUCACAGAAAUUCUUCUUGUAGCGCAAAUGAUGAACAUUCGUGGAAAGGACUUUAAUGUUCCCGUGAUCAACAGCAGCACGGCGGUGGCGAAGGCGCGCGAGCAGUACGGCUGCGGCACCUUGGAGUAUCUGGAGAUCGAGGACCAGGGCGGUGCAGGCUCCGCCGGGUCGCACAUCAAGAUGCGCAACGCCAAGGACGAGCUCAUGGCGCCUGCCGCAGCUGCCGGGUACUACAGCGCCCUGACCAUGGCCAUCUUCCAGGACCUCGGCUUCUACCAGGCGGACUUCAGCAAGGCCGAGGAGAUGCCGUGGGGCCGGAACGCCGGCUGCGCCUUCCUCAGCGAGAAGUGCAUGGAGCAGAACAUCACGAAGUGGCCGGCGAUGUUUUGCAAUGUGAGUGUGGACGUCGUGCGCUGCCCCACCAGUCGUCUGAUGCUCGGAACCUGUGGUAUAAGAGGAUACAGCACUCCGUUUUCGCCCUACUGGCAGUACUUCACCAAUAUAUCCCUUGGGGGCUACUCGCCAUUUCUGGAUUACUGCCCGUUUGUUAUCGGCUACGGUGGUGGUUCGUGCAAUCAGGACGCAUCGUUGGCAACAGGGUUUUUCGGUGCAUUCAACGUCUUCUCCGACGCGGCGCGCUGCAUCGAUGGCGCCUUCAGGCCGAAGAAUAGAACCGCUGCCGAUGGCUACUACGCCGGACUGUGCGCCAACGUGCGGUGCGACACGGCCACGCGCACGUACAGCGUGCAGGUGUGCGGCAGUAUGGACUACGUGAACUGCACCCCGGGCCUCAGAGUUGAGCUGAGCUCCGUGAGCAGCGCCUUCGAGGAGGGCGGCUACAUCACGUGCCCGCCGUACGUGGAGGUGUGCCAGGCCAACGUGAAGGGAGCCAAGGACUUCGCAGGCGACUCCGACAGCUCCAGCAGCGCCGGUGACGCUGCUGACAGAGCGGCGAUGCAGCGGUGGAAUGACAGGAUGGCCGGCUUGGCUACUGCGGCGAUGGUGCUGCUAGGAAUGGUUCUCUCUCUCAUGGCGCUCGUGGUUGUGUGGCUACUCCUUCUCACCUGCCCCUGGUGGUGUUGCAAAUUUGGGGGGCUCCCAACGUGAGUUACGACGGUCGGCGAGGUCGAAACGGAGUGGAGAGGAUGGCCAUCGGCGAGAAGGCCGCGACGAAGUGUAGCGGCAGUCUGUCCUCAUGUCGGCAGCCAUCGCUUCACACGUGCGCCGGAGUGUUAUUAUUAUUAUGCUUCGCUGUCGCUCGUCUUCUCCGGUGCACCAUCGGAGUCUGAGCUGGGUAUGUGUUUCGGUGGGUGGGGCUGCUUCACAGCCUUCGCCUCCAUCCCUUUCCUCCCUUCUGUCGUGGGUGUGUGCGUGCCGCCGAUAAGCACCUUAAGUUCUUGGUCAACCAUCGCGCAAUGGCCAGAUGAUCAUCAAGGUCAGCGGCGGCUCUCGACGCCUCUCGCGGUGCCGUCGUGGCCACAAUGUGUGCCUCUGUUACGCUUUUUCUGCUUCGUGCUGUUUUGCUGUUUUGCAGCUCUGGAUACGGCGUGCGGCAGACGUAGGCGGGUUGGUGUGCGCCCUCCCUCCCUCUCUGCCGUGCCCCCUCCUCCACCCAUCCCUGCUUCCUUUUUGCCUUUCCUUGACCACACGGCGCGCAG
rnacentral:misc_RNA from 1 species